AUGCUGCCUUUGAGUCCCCACUGCGCCUGUGUGUGGUGAGAGGUCAAGCUGCAGCACCAGAGCAGGAGCUUACGUGUAACUGGAGCCAACUGCUCCUGGGCCAGUGGCCUUUUUAACCUCAAACGACAUGG